CCCUUAGAUGUUCUGGGCCGCACGCGCGCUACACUGACUACUUCAACGAGUUGUUUCCUUGAUCGAAAGGUCUGGGUAAUCUUUGAAAGGUAGUCGUGAUGGGGAUAGAUCCUUGCAAUUUUUGAUCCUCAACGAGGAAUUCCUAGUAAACGCAAGUCAUCAGCUUGCAUUGAUUACGUCCCUGCCCUUUGUACACACCGCCCGUCGCACCUACCGAUUGAAUGGUCCGGUGAAUCUUUAGGACUGUGGCUGAGGCCUUGCCUUGUGCGGGUCUGGCCGUGGGAAUUUAGUUAAACCUUACCAUUUAGAGGAAGGUGAAGUCGUAACA
rnacentral:rRNA from 1 species